rnacentral:tRNA from 16 species
GACGUUCCUGCCCGGUGGUAGGCACAGGCUUCCAAAUCCCUGCGGGGAG